rnacentral:rRNA from 1 species
GAUGAACGCUGGCGGCGUGCCUAAUACAUGCAAGUCGAGCGAACAGACGAGGAGCUUGCUCCUCUGACGUUAGCGGCGGACGGGUGAGUAACACGUGGAUAACCUACCUAUAAGACUGGGAUAACUUCGGGAAACCGGAGCUAAUACCGGAUAAUAUAUUGAACCGCAUGGUUCAAUAGUGAAAGACGGUUUUGCUGUCACUUAUAGAUGGAUCCGCGCCGCAUUAGCUAGUUGGUAAGGUAACGGCUUACCAAGGCGACGAUGCGUAGCCGACCUGAGAGGGUGAUCGGCCACACUGGAACGGAGACACGGUCCAGACUCCUACGGGAGGCAGCAGUAGGGAAUCUUCCGCAAUGGGCGAAAGCCUGACGGAGCAACGCCGCGUGAGUGAUGAAGGUCUUCGGAGCGUAAAACUCUGUUAUUAGGGAAGAACAAAUGUGUAAGUAACUAUGCACGUCUUGACGGUACCUAAUCAGAAAGCCACGGCUAACUACGUG